GACGAACGCUGGCGGCGUGCUUAACACAUGCAAGUCGAACGGAAAGGCCCUGCUUUUGUGGGGUGCUCGAGUGGCGAACGGGUGAGUAACACGUGAGUAACCUGCCCUUGACUUUGGGAUAACUUCAGGAAACUGGGGCUAAUACCGGAUAGGAGCUCCUGCUGCAUGGUGGGGGUUGGAAAGUUUCGGCGGUUGGGGAUGGACUCGCGGCUUAUCAGCUUGUUGGUGGGGUAGUGGCUUACCAAGGCUUUGACGGGUAGCCGGCCUGAGAGGGUGACCGGCCACAUUGGGACUGAGAUACGGCCCAGACUCCUACGGGAGGCAGCAGUGGGGAAUAUUGCACAAUGGGCGGAAGCCUGAUGCAACAACGCCGCGUGCGGGAUGACGGCCUUCGGGUUGUAAACCGCUUUCGCCUGUGACGAAGCGUGAGUGACGGUAAUGGGUAAAGAAGCACCGGCUAACUAUGUG
rnacentral:rRNA from 1 species